rnacentral:lncRNA from 1 species
AGAAGGCGAUGGAGACCAGCCUUGGCUGGACCACUUCCACCCCAGAGGCUCUUCACCGCCUCCCCAUCCAGACCCAAGGUUCCCUAGUGGUCCAGACGGUUUCCUUGGCAGCGCUGGCACCAGUAUUUCCUGAGUACCCCGAGCGUGCCAGGUGAAGAGAGACGGAUAAUAACAGCGCUAGCCAGCACGUAUUAAGCCUUGCAAAGCUGCACGGGCAUGAACUUGUGGCUUCAACACAACCUUAUGAGGCUCUAUACUGUUGAGUCAAUCUGGGAUGGUUUAAGGUACAUGAGCCUCGGUAUCAGGCAAGCCUCAAAUUAGUCAGUGAGGACUCUUAGUUGCAAGACAGAAACUGGAUUCAAAUUAGCUACAGGGGGAAAAAAAAGAUCCAGCUGAUGGCUUCAGGCAUAGCUGUUUCCAGGUGCCCAAAUGCUAGUGUUAGAGAUUUGUUGUUUUUUUAAUCUUUCAGCUCUGCCUGCCUAUAAGAUGACAAGGAAUUGUCCCAGUAGCUCUAGUCUUACCUUUUGUGAGCUUAACAACCUCAUUAGAAAGAGAUCUUUCUUCUCAACAAAAAUAUCAGGAUUAACCCUGGCCAGCCUGGCUUGAGUCACAUAUUCCUCCCUAGACCUGGAGAUGGUGUUAAAGCCAUAAGAUGAUGUUUCCAGAAUAAAAAGGAAUGGUUGCUGGGCAGGCAAAAACAAUGGGUGUCACUCCCUCUGUGCAAAUGUAUGCCUGUGGGAGAGAGGGUUUAUAGUUUAUGUGGCACUUUCCUGAUUUGUCACUACCUAGUGAGUCAGUCUGAUGUGGUGGAAUACGAGCGCUCUGGACUCAACAGGCCUGAGUCAAAAUGUCGGCUCUUCAUUAGCUGUGUGGCCUUGGGCAACUUACUUAAAAGUAACCGUGCGGGUAACUAGCAUGUUUUGAGCGCUCGGCAUGUGCUAGGUGUUACAUAUAUUAAUCUCGUUACUCCACAGCUCUGCAAAAGAGUUAUUUUCUCCUUCUUAUAGAUGAGGAAGCUGAAGAUCAGACAGAUUAAGUGACCUCCUCAAGGUCACUAAGCUAGCUAGGGACACUCCAACCCAGGGUGCUCUGACUCAAGGCAGCCUCUCUGACCUUCCCUCUCCAUGCCUGAAAAAUGGACAUGACAUGGAGAAGAAGAAAGUGGCAGAAGAGGAGGAAAAGGAAAAAUACUGAAACAGUGAAACGCCCACAACAUAUUAGCUAUGCAAUCAAUCUAGUUCCCUUCAUCCGUUCUUCCACUCACUUCUUUUCUUACUUUCCUCCAUCUUUUUCUUUCUUUGGGCACUUCAAAAGGUCCUAGCUUUCUCCUUCCUUCCUUCCCUUCCUUCCUUCUUUCUUUCCUUCCUUCCUUUUUUUCCUUCUCUUUCUUCCCCCCACCUGCCCUUUUUUUUUGGACAGGGACUCACUCCGUCAUCCAGGCUGUAGUGCAGUGGCGCGAUCUCAGCUCACUGCAACCUCCACUUCCCAUGUUCAAGCGAUUCUCCUGCCUCAGCCUCCCGAACAGCUGGGAUUACAGGCGCCCUCCACCGUGACUGGCUAAUUUUUGUAUUUUUAGUAGAGACAGGGUUUCACCAUGUUGGCCAGGCUGGUCUUGAACUCCUGACCUCAAAUGAUAUGCCCGCCUCAGCCUCCCAAAGUGGUGGGAUUACAGGCUUGAGCCACUGCACCCGGCCCAUUUUUUCCCCCUCUUUUUGAAGUCCUUACCUGGUCCAAGGUGGUAUUUCUGAAUCAUAACAGGAUAAACACUGGGGCUCUAGUCAUUUUUAAAGCACUCACCCUCAUAAGCAUGACUGCCACCCCUAGAGGAACCCCCGGCCAUGGCCCCUACAUCAGCACUCCGGCUUGACCAAGAUCAUGUUCUAGCUCACUGGGAAGGGGGAAACCAAGGUACUUGGGAUUCCUCCCACUCCAAUUCAUGCCUCUGUACCCAUCAGUCUCUGCGUGAAGUUUUCCUAAUCUGUUUAACUCAUGUGCCAGCUCUGACUGAGGUGGGGCAGUGGCAGGGGCACCCUUUUCUCUCCACACUGUUUUGGCUUCAGCCCUCACCUGACCUUUGUUUCACCCCCUCCUGCCUACUUGGGGAGCCUGCCCAAGCCCUGAUGAAAGGCGAGGGAAGUGAGCGCCAGGCUGAGCCAUGGGGUUUGGAGAUAAGCACCUUCCAUUUUGGACAUGUCGGAACUAGAAAUCAAGAGGAACUGGCACUCCAAAGGGAGAGUCAGGCUUCUUCCAGAUGCUGGGCUGGUGGUGGUGGGGGUCCCCUCGGCAGACGCAAGGGUAGGACUUCACAACAUAGUCUUGCUGGGUGAGGAACUUGCCGAGGGUGAGCAAACAGAGAACCUCUAACUCCUUAAUGAUUUUUAUAGAAUGUUCUGGCCUUGGGAACAGGAAGUCCUCCUAAGUGACAGAGCCACCACUUCACCCACACCUUGUACAAUGUGUGAGCGUGUGCAGGUCAUUCUCCACAUGGCCACAUGCCCUGUUUGGUGUGGGAGCCGCACCCCAUGCCCAGGCCCCUCAGGCCGCUCCACAUGGGUUCCCCCACCCAGGUGGGCACUGCAGUUGGGCUCAGGGUCUUCCCUCUUGGGGUAGCAUCCCUGGUAGCAGAAACUGCCUCCUCUUCACCCCAUCCUCAACGUAGGGCACAACAUUCAGAAAGUCCGAGUCCAGGAAGGCUUUUGUGAGAUAAAGGGGGAGCUGUGGCCAGAGAGGAAAGGGGGCAUGGUGAUGAGUUCACACUUAUUAAAUACCAUCAGCCCCGAGAAAGAGUAUGAAUAAUCCCCAUUCUAGAGAUGGGAAAACUGAGACUAGAGUUAGUUAACAGGAAGAUGCGGUGUCUACCAACAGAACAAUUUCAUUUUAUGGACUUGAGUCCCUCCCAAGAUGCCUGGCCCCUGAACAUUCUGACUUCCUCACCCGGUUCUUCUUAAACUACAAUGCGCCCACAAAUUCCCUUGUUCAAAGGCAAAUUCUGAUUCAGCAGUUCUUGGGCGGGGCCCGAGAUCCUGCCAUCUGACAAGCUCCGGGGCUGCUAGUCUGAGACAACACUUUGAACAGCCAGCGAGGCUCCAGGUUGAGGCUGUCUUUCUGAUGAACUUACGACAGCACGCGCUUCCACUCCUCACACAGGCAGCGGGGCUGGGUGGUCUAGAGUCGCGCUAUCCUAAUUGAGAUGUGCUGUGAGUGUGAAAUACACACCAGAUUUUGAAGAUGUUGUAAGAACAAAAGAACAUAACAUAUCUCAUUAAUAAUUCUUUAUAUGAAUUACAUGUUGAAAUAAUAUUUGAGGUAAAAUCAAAUAGAUUUUUUAAAAAUCUAUUUUAACCGUGUCUUUUUUCUUUUCUAAUGUGGCUACUAGAAAAUGUAAAAUCAUGCAUGUGGCUUGUAUUUUUUUUUUUUUUUGAGACAGGGUCUCACUGUCACCCAGGCUAGAGUGCAGUAGCAUGGUCAUUGCUCUCUGCAGCCUCAAUAUUCUGGAGUCAAAGGAUCCUCCCUCCCAUCUCAGUCUCCUGAGUCGCUGGGACUACAGGCACUCACCACCAUGCUUGGCAAAUUUUUUUAUAUUUUGUGGAGAUGGGGUCUCCCUAUGUUACCCACGCUGGUCUCCGACUCCUGAGCUCAAGUGAUCCUCCUGUCUCAGUCUCCCCACGUGCUGGGAUUACAGGCAUGAGCCUCCAGGCAUGAGCCUCCAGGCCUGGCCACAUUAUAUUUUUAGUGAACAGCUCUGGUUUAGAGCAGUGGUUCUGAACCAGGCAGGGGUAAUGCUGGCACUCCAGGGAUAUUUGGCAAUGUCUGAAAUGUUUUUGGCUUGGUUGCCAUAAGUAGUGGGGUUGCUACUGGCAUGUAAUGGGUAGAGGCCAGAGAUAGUGCUAAACAUUCCAUAGUGUCCAGGACACCCCCUUAUCACCAAGAAUGUAUCCAGCCCCAAAUGUCAGUAGUGCCAAGGUUGAGAAAGUCUCAUCUAGAAACAUCGCCACCAUCUCUGAGAUUAUUUUAUUGACUUCUUAAUUUGUCCAAUGCCUUCACCCCUCUACUAGAACACGAGCUGCAUGAAAUCAGGGACUUGCCUGCCUGUAGCUGCCAGAACAGUGCGUGGCACAAGGCAGCAUUCUGUAGUACACAUUAAAUGUCCCUCUAUCCACUUGAGCCCACCAAGUGGUUCGAAUUCGCCCAUGCAAACUGGCACAGGCCCACCAGCCAAGGGCCUCAGAACACAGUGAGACCACUCCACUCUGAAAUCAAGCUAAGACAAGACAAAAUCUAAAUCCACAGGUCUUGACAGGUUGUCCUCACAACUGCACAUUAAUCAAUCUCUCCACAGGCAGGCAUUAACCCCAGGGAGCAGAGAUAGGAAUUGCCUCUGAAGGCUUGUUAGGCCUCUGUGCACAGCUUGGCCCAGCCCAGCCCUGGCAGGCCUUUCAUCCCGGGCGGGGCCACCUACCAAGCUGCCACAGACCAAGCUUCGUUCGUUUCCAGUGAUUUUAUUCACCACCCAGUGGUGGUUUCAAAGGGCUGGCUCCAGCCCAUCUGAUCUGCUGCCUUUUCUGAGUUGCUGGGCCCUGUGUGGAGCCUAGAGCUGGGCUUUCUAAGGGAGAGUUGUCUCCUAGCCCUCUCCUUUCGCAAGCCGGUGGGUGGGGUUAGGGUGAGGCCAAAAGAAUAACUUGGGUCCACCCAGGGUGUGGGAGGGAAUGGAAUCAGGGCAGAUUAAUUUCUCUUGUUGAGAUAACUCUUUAAUCGUCAAUAUAAAGUCUUGAAAGCCACUGUUCUAGGCCUUCUCCCUUUCCCUCUUGUCUCUCCCUGGGGUGCGGCCCUCUCCUGGUAGGAGUCCAGAGACCUGGGUUUGGCCCCAGAGCUGGGCUGUGUGACCUAGGGUAAGGGAAGAAAGCCCUUCUGAGCUUUUUAAAUUUCUACUAUUAUUAUUAUUUUUGAGACAGAGUCUCGCUCUGCUGCCAAGCUAGACUGCACUGGCGCGAACUCGGCUGACUGCAACCUCCAUCUCCCGGGUUCAAGCAAUUCUCCUGCUUCAGCUUCCUGAGGAGCUGGAACUACAGGCGCGUGCCACCAUGCCCAACUGAUUUUUGUAUUUUUAGUAGAGAUGGAAUUUCACCAUCUUGGCCAGGAUGGUCUCGAUCUCUUGACCUCGUGAUCCACCUGCCUCAGCCUUCCAAAGUGCUGGGAUUACAGGCGUAAGCCACUGCACCCGGCCUCUGAGCUUUCUUUUAAAUGGAGUAGGGGAGAGAGGAGUAGGAGUUAUACUGAUCUUUAAAUCUUUUAGCAUUUCAAUCUUGCCUCUAGUCUUUAAAAUAAAGCCCGAGCCCCUUAGCGUGACCCAACUUCUCUCCUGUCCACCUUCCUGCCUCCCAGUCGGCAGUCCAGCUCCUUGCCCCAUAUGGUGAAUACAUCCCACUUCAGCCGCAGUGGCCUAUCUUCAGUUUUGUUAAAGUGCCUUGCUCUCUUUUACCUUCUAGUCUUUGGACUUGUCAUUCUGCUCUUCCACGGAGUUUUCUAGGGUAAUGCUUAAAUCUAUGUAUGGUAGAUCACAUGACAUCUGUUCACUGUGUGCCCUUGGGCAAGUUACUUAGCUUCUCUGUGCUUCAGUCCCCUCUUGCAGAAAAAUGAGAAUAACACUGGUCCUUAAUUCAUGGGGUUAUUGUGCAGGUUGAAUGAGAUGAUGCUUGCAGAGUUGUUUACAGCAAUAUCUAACACCCAGAAAGCAACAAGGGGAAACGUUCCCUGCCAUCAUUAUGAUUAUUUCUGGAACGUGUUCACAAUCAACUCUCAGGAAUCAGCUCCGUUGUUACCCCCUUUCAGGAAGGCUUCCCAGGUUUCCACUCUCCAGCUCCCGUGUCUGCCCCUCCUCUGCCUCCUGACUCACCCUGGGUUCACUGCUGUCACCACCCUUAUCACCGGUGUGGUAACUGCCUGUUUACUUGUCUAGCUCCUCUCAAUAGAUUGUCACUUCCUCAAGUCUAGAGAUUAGAAACAGACCACAUGCUGGCCUAAGCCACAGAUGUGCUUUAGCUGGACUGGGGGCAGGAAGUUUGGAAAACUUUUAAUAAGGUGUAUUUUUUAAAACCGAAAAAAAUAGUUUAUUUUAAAAAUGGGAUGAUUUCACAUAAAAAUCUGAGUUUCCAACUUCUCUUGGAAAAUUAGAGACUGCAAAUACAAGCCCCUGUCAUUGCCUGCACCUGCGGGAGCAUCGGCUUCAGGGGGGCAGGUGCUCCUGGCUUAUUGCAGGUUCCACCCAGCCCGAUUACUCACACUCUGCCCCCAAAAAUAAGGUGAUGACAUAAGCCUCUCCUCUGAAUCAGGACACCUUUGAGAGUGAAAGUGAUAUGUUAUUAAUAACCACAAAUAAACCAGACAGAUUAGGGAAAACUGGAAAACAGACUCCCGCUGAACUACAGAGUCGGGGGCUUUGACAUCUUUGGGUCCCACAUGACACACUUCCUGCCACAUAUAUGCUCAAUAAACGAUCAUCACAACAACUAGGGCAUCUUGAGCAUUUGCUUCAUACAAACUUGUCCAAUCCAUGGCCCACAGGUCUAGGACAGCUCUGAAGGUGGCCCAACACAAAUUCGUAAACUUCCUUACAACAUUAUGAGGCCGGGUGCGGUGGCUCACGCCUGUAAUCCCAGCACUUUGGGAGGCGGAGGCAGGCGGAUCACGAGGUCAAGAGAUCGAGACCAUCCUGGCCAACAUGGUGAAACCCUGUCUCUACUAAAAAUACAAAAAUUAGCCGGGCGUGGUGGCGGGUGCCUGUAGUCCCAGCUACUCGGGAGGCUGAGGCAGGAGAAUCGCUUAAACCCAGGAGGCGGAGGUUGCAGUGAGCUGAGAUCUCACCACUGCACUCCAGCCUGGUGACACGGCGAGACUCCAUCUCAAAAAAAAAAGUUUUUCUGCAUUUUUUUAAAGCUCAUCAGCUAUCGUUAGUGUUAAUGUAUUUUAUGUGGGGUCCAAGACAGUUCUUCCAAUGUGGCCCAGGGAAGCCAAAAGACUGGACUUUCCUGGCUUAAUGUAUUAACUCAACAGCCCUCCCAGGAGCCUUAUGAGGUAGAGACUGUUGUCUGCAUCUUGCAGAUGAGGAAACUGAGGCACAGAUAUAUUUAAUACUGUAACCUGUCUCAACUGCACAGCUAGGAAAUGGGGAACCAAGACAGUUUGAGUCUUGAGUCUAGAGGUCGUGUGUUGGCAAAAUCAAUAAUUCGCUCUUAGGGUCCUUCCCACCUCUACAAACCUCGGGUUCUUUUGAUGUUUUUCCUCGUGUUUUCUCCUUUCCCAAGUCUCUCCUUUUGUCCUUUCCUCCUUUCUCUCUUGUACUCUGUUCUCUUUGUCUCUCCCUCUCGCUCACUCUUUCUGUUCCACCAACUCUUGCUCUCUCUGUCUCUCCCAUCUUUGUCUCUCUGUGUCUCUAACUGUUGUUCCUGCUCUUGGGAACUCUCUAUUUCUGUCCCUCAGCCUCUCAAGUAGCUAGGACUAUAGAUGUGUACCACACUCGGCUAAUUUUUGUAUUUUUUUGUAGAGAUGGGGUUUUGCCAUGUUGCCCAGGCUGGUCUCAAACUCCUGGGCUCCAGCAAUCCUCCGCCUUAGCCUCCCAAAUUGCUGGGAUUACAGGCCUGAGCCACUGGCGCCUGGCCAUGACUCCUUUCUUGAAAGACUCUCACUGUCUCUUCUCUUGCCAUCUCUCUGCUCUUCCUUUUUCUGUCCUCCUUUGUCCUCCUCCUCUUUCUCCUUCUCUGUCUCUGCCUCUCUCUGUGUGUCUCUCUCUUCGUGUCUCUCUCUUCCGCACAUCAUGCAUUCUUACCAACCAUGACUAAACACUUAUGCGAUAGAAGAAUAUGUUUUCAGUAAUUCACUGUGGGUCUUGGCUUGUAGAAAUCCCACAAGCCAGGCUCUGUGCCUUCGCUACACUUUUGGUGAGAACUUCUGUGGACAGAGGCACAAAAGCCUCAAGCUGUGAGAUUCAAAAUCUGGUGGUUAAGCCAGCCCCUCAGCGCUCCCAGCCUGCGCCCCUCGUUGGAAACAAUGAGUUGGAAAGUGUCUUGAUGACUUUCAGCAGACAGACCUGCAAAGAAGAGAAGCUGAUCUGGACUCUGGCCUUCCUUCACAACACACUGACAAGCCCACCACAGCUGCCAAACAUGAGGUGAUGGGACAGCCCUCGUGGCCUCCACCCACCGCCCUGGUGGAGAAGUGAAACAUGAACCCACCAGUGCAAGACAGAGGAAGAGGCACCAGCGAAGGCAAGAAAACUGAAGCUGGACGCUGGCCUCCAGUCCUGUCUUUGCCAUUAGCAGCCCUGGGAUCUUAGUGCCUUCACCAGCCGAGCUUCAGUUUUUCCACCUGUAAAAUGGAGGGUUGAGGCCACAUCUUCCUUUUAGUCCUUCCUCUUCCCUUCCCUCCAGAGCAAGUGGUGUGGAAUUCUAAGGCAAAAGUCACCCUGAUUGAAUGGUGUAGAUUAGUCAAGAACCCAGCACUGAGGUCAGCCUCUGGAAGCAAUUUAAGAUGACCCAAGGAUUUGAGAUUCCAACCUCCUGCAUGCAAGCAGAAGUGCUUCCUCCUACAUAGGGCUGCCCUCCUUCCUGAGCAACUGGGCUGAUUUGUGGAAGAAACAGCUGUGCUUUCUGGUGAGCUCCAAUGCCAAACAUGUAGGCCUUGGAUCAGGCAGGAUGUUCCAUCAGCAGUCAUUGUUCACACCUGUGCUGUAUGGGCCAGGCAUCGAGCCAAUAGUAACACCUCCUUUCACCCCACAACAACCCUGUACCAAGCACACACCCAUUUUAUACCUGAGGAAGCUGAGGCUUGGAGAGGCACCGCGCCCAGGGUCAUGUAACCACAGGUGACAAAAUGAAGAUGCAAAUGCAACCUGAGUGAUUCCUUUUGAUGGAGCCACACCAUUUAAAUCAAUGCUGGGUGAUUGGAUUAUAUGUAAUUUUUUUAAAUUAAAAACAUUUUUUUGCCAGACACAGUUGCUCAUGCCUGUAAUCCCAGCACUUUGGGAGGCCGAGGCGAAGUGGAUCACUUGAGGUCAAGAGUCCGAGACCAGCCUGGCCAAUACAGUAAAACCCCGUCUCUACUGAAAAUACAAAAAAUUACCUGGGUAUGGUGGUGGGCAACUGUAAUCCCAGCGACUUGGGAGGCUGAGGCAGGAGAAUCACUUUAACCUGGGAGGCAGAGGUUGCAGUGAGCUGAGAUCGCACCACUGCACUCCAGCCUGGGCAACAGAGUGAGAUUCUGUCUCAAAAAAACCCAAAAAACAAAACAAACAAAAACAUUUGUUUCCCUAUAAUGAAUAGGAUUGCUUGUGUUUUAAAAGGGAGUAACCCAAUCACAGCACU